ensembl:lncRNA
GUGCCUAGCCUUAAGCGGUUAUUAAAAUGCAUACCAAGUGUCAACUGAUGCCUUCAUGUGCAAUGUCUCAUUUAGUUUCUAUGUAAAUCUAUGAAACAGGUUUUAUGACCUGAUUUUAAAGGUGAGGAAAAUAAGGCCUGGAUAAUUUAUAAAAAGAUUAUGUUUUUAAAAGAUAAUUUUUUUUUUCUGUUGAAUUGCUGUUAAUUGGGCCUUUUGUCUGAUUUUCACUGAUUUCAGGCACAGUGGAUUGAAGCGGGGCUGUCAGUCACUUGGUGUUUGAGGACUCCCAUUGUAAAUCAGGGAUUCUUGCAGCCUGCUUUUUCAGGGACGUUGGCUGCUGUCUUCUGACCCACCCUGUGUGACUUUGGCGUCUCCUGUGACCUCCCAGUAUGGGUCUUGGCUUCAUCCUGCCUCUUUGCCUUUCUGGCCCACCACCACCAACUUGAAUCUCAGGCUCCAACAGUUGCCUGACCCCCAGACUCUGAUGACAGCCUACCUACUUGUUCUUCAGACCCUGAGCAGACUCACUGCCCAGACACACCAUACACGAGAACAUGAAAGGGUAUUUGAGUUUGGGGCCAUGUCAUAGGAUGCACCUUGAAAUGAGCCACGACAUGUGCAGUCUAAUGGUCUCUGUUGAUCCAUUUGCUGUCUGUGAAACUCCAGAAGUCAGGUAAUUAACUAUUUCUUCUGCAAUACAGUGUCUUUAUACUUAACAGUUAUUCUAAUUCUUAUAACCAUUAACAUCUACAUCUGAGUCAUAAAGCAUUGAAAUGAACCCUUGGUUAUUGUAUUUUCAGCUAAUAAUUAAUGCUAUGCACCAUGUGAUCAUAAACCUGCUCUCCUUUUUUUGCAUUAAUUGGUAACCUGGUCCAACCAGACUCUUAACACGAUUGUCCCCGUGUGAGUUUAGUCAUUAUUUUGACUUCACUGAUUAUUGGCAUUUAUUACUUAAGAGCUAAGAAACAGCAACUAAUUGAACGUAUUAUGAAACAUGUUUCCUCCUGCCUUUUCCAGGGUGGGAGAGCAUGACUGCUUAAUGGGCCACUGCUUAUCCCCAUUCAAAUCCUGUGUGCAUUGACUUUGUAGGAUUGCACCUCAGAAGACUUCUCAUGUUUCGUUUCCCCACAUUUUCUGUGGACAAAUUUCCAUCAACUACAUAUACUGCUUUGCAGAAAUGAACAUCUCAAAAUCUGAGGAAGAGUAGAUAAUUUUAGGAAGGGUGACAGAAUGGGGAAAGCGGUAAACAGUAUCUGAAGAAGUAGAAAAUGACUUGAAUUUUAGAAUUGGGUUAUGGUGGCCAGGCGCGGUGGCUCAAACCUGUCAUCCCAGCACUUUGAAAGGCUGAGGUGGGUGGAUCGUUUGAGGUCAAGAGUUAUAGACCAGCCAUCUUGAUCAUGGGACCAGCCACAGUGCCUGCGUAUCCUUGAGUAGCAGGUUUCAAUUCCUGCCAGCCCAGAGACCAACAUGGUGAAACCCCGUCUCUACUAAAAAUACAAAAAUUAGCUGAGUGUGGUGGCACGUGCCUGUAUUCCCAGCUACUUGAGAGGCUGAGGCAGGAGAAUCACUUGAAUCUGGGAGGUGGAGGUUGCAGUGAGCCAAGUUGGCACCACUGUACUCCAGCCUGGGUGACAGAGGGAGACUCUGUUUUCCCCCACCCCAAAGCAAGAGUUUUAUGGCAUUUAGAAGUCCAUUUUGAAUGAUGUGGUAGAGUGGAAACCAGAUUACAAGCAGGUGAGAAGUGAAAAGAUGAUGAAAAAAAGAGAAAAUAGUAAUAAUAGAUUACUGGCUUCAGUAAAUUGACAGUGAAAGAAAGGGUGAGAAUGUGGUUUAGGAGAUGAGGCAACAUGAUCAUCUGAAGUUUUCUGUGUCCAAUUUUUAAGACAGAGGAAAUUGUGCAUAUUUGAAGGUAGUGGAAGAAUUGGCAGAAAGAAGGAACUUGAAAGCUGAGAUAAGAAGUUAGUAUUGGAAAGAUGGAGCCAAUACCUCCACAUCUGUGAAAAAAGAAAAGAAAAAAAAUUAUCCAAAGCUGAGUAUUGAGUCAGCAGACAGGGGAAAAUAUAGGGGCUGUGGGUUUUACCAGGUAGUUGGUGGUGUCAGGGCAUGCAGUUAAAUAUUAUCAAAAAGGAACUGACAGUCUAAAAGAAUCAGGAGCAAUAGGAGGUUCAGGAGGGCAUGGAAUAUUUUGCUUAAAUGUGGAGGUGUGAGAGAGGCUGAACGUGAAUAACAUACCCCAUCUUCCUUCCUUCCUAAGAGAAAUCCAGUUUUCUUCAGGUAUCCACUCCUACGUCCCGUGACUGAAACAAUAUGAGUCCUUCCCUAGCUGGAAGGUAUGGUCUGAUUAGUCUCAGAGCUACUCAAAGGACUGAUCCGUGAUAAGAUCAGGUGUUACACCAGAAUAGGAUUCAACGCACUACCUUCUUCAUUGAAAAAGUCUACCUAGGUCAAAAAUAGCAGCUGAUGGGAGGCCGAGGCAGGAGGAUUGCUUGAGCCCAGGAGUUUGAGACCAGUCUGGGCAACAUAGUGAGGCUCUGUCUCUAAAAAAAUAAAAAAGAAAUUAGCCAGACAUGGUGUUAUAUAAUCAUGGUCCCAGCUGCUAGGGAGGCUGAGGAGAGAGGAUCAAUUGAACUCAGGAGUUCGAGGCUGCAGUGAACCAUGUUUGUGCCACUGCACUCCAGCCUGGGUGACAGAGCGAGACCCUGUCUCAAAUAUAUAUACAUAUGUAUGUGUAUAUAUAUAUAUACCCUAGCUGAAUAUGGUCAGCUAGUUCUCCUGGCACUAUUUAUUAAAUAGGGAAUCCCUUCACCAUUGCUUGUUUUUGUCAGGUUUGUUGAAGAUCAGGUGCCUAUAAGUGUGUGGUCUUAUUUCUGAGUUCUCUGUUCUGUUCCAUU